AGUUAAAAAGCUCGUAGUUGGAUAUCUGCUGGAAGCAAUCAGUCCGCCCUUUUAGUGAGGGUGUGUACUUGAUGAAUUCUGGCAUGAUCAUCAUCCUAAUAAUAAUAUUAUAUUAGGCUGAUUCCUAAUAUAAUGAUUACUAUUGGGAUGUGACAGUUACUUUGAGAAAAUUAGAGUGUUUGAAGCAGGCUUAUUGUUGCCUUGAAUACUGCCGCAUGGAAUAACAAUAUAGGAUUUCGGUUCUAGGUUUGUUGGUUUCUAGGACUGAAAUAAUGAUUAAUAGGGACAGUUGAUGGCAUUCGUAUUUAACUGUGGGAGGUGAAAUUCUUAGAUUUGUUAAAGACGAACUACUGCGAAAGCUAUUUGCCAAAGAUGUUUUCAUUAAUCAAGAACGAAAGUUAGGGGCUCGAAGACGAUCAGA
rnacentral:rRNA from 1 species